rnacentral:lncRNA from 1 species
CCUAACUAUCUCACAAUAUAGGUUCCCAACUGCUGACCAAACUCCAGUCUAGCCGCCACCUGGCCCCAGGCUGGCCCAGUCUGGCUGCUUCCCGACAGCUCCCAAGAUCUGGGGUAGGAGGCCAAGGGCAGCUGGGGACCGCCAAGGACCCCCACCUCCCACCUGAGAGGACAGCUUCCUGCCCAGAGUUGGGAUCUGAUGCUUCCUGGUCUCAACAGCAGAUGCCAGGUAGGCGCCCUGGCGGUCUGGGCCUCUGGGCUCCUCCUGGAGCCCCCAACGGACCACCUGCUCACACUGCCAUGGCUUAAUCCCCAAGGGACCCCACAGCACUGGACAGGCUGUGUCCCUGACCCACUCCUUUGGCACAUGGAGACACUGAGGCUGUCGGCAAAUGGAAGCUGCUGCAGUUUGAAGAGUGGAGCUGGCCAGAGACCAGGGGCCCCUCCCUGAGCCCCAAAGGCUGGAAGGGACUUGGGAAUUGCUCCAGGCCACUCAGUGGUGGCAGGUAAGCUUGGACUGAACAAGGAGGUCAGUCCCCUUCGCUUCCUCUCCUACAGACCGUGGAUGGCCCUGUGUGUUUGUCCACUCAGUGACUGAUGGCCACCAGGUUGCCCCAGGAGCAUUUCCGAGAGGAAGACGAGGGAGCUGGGGCUGAAGGCCAGUGGGAUUGGAAGGAAACACUAUUCACAUGGUUAACUGAUAACUGGGCCCCAUCCCCGGGCCUCCACAGGCCUCUUUCCUCCCUCCCUCUCCUCAGCAUGAUUAAGAUGAACUUACCUGCCUGCUAAUCAUUGCUGAGACUGUUGAUUUUGCCUUAAAAAAUUAACUGGGCAUGAGUUUGCGGUUUGCCUCACCCCUAACCCUGAAAAGGCCUGGGUGGGCAGGAGGCCUCCUGGGUUAUGCAAGAGGCCGCUGGCCUCCCCACGCGCAUCCCGUGGCCUCCUCUGCCGUUCUCCAAAGGGGAGUUUUGCUCAAGAGUCAACAGUCUGCCUGUCCCCCUGCCGGGUCCUGAGCAAAUUUGCUCUGUUACCAAAGAGAGAUAAAAACACUGUGGAAUGGGGGUGGGGGGAACUUUCCAAAUGGGGAUGUGAAGCAGUGGCUUUGAGCUUGGGUUUCUAGAAUCCUGCAGCAUCAGAGCCAAGAGAACCUUUCGGAGGAUGUGGGCUGGGGCUUUUUAUUUUUAUUUGACUUUUCAAAGCAGCUUCUGGUGUUCCCAGGAGCCCACAGAUUGAUGCUCUCUUAGGUGUGAUCUUUCUUAAUGUUUCCAUUGAGAGAAGGGAGACCACAGGUGCAGCCUCAGCCCCUCAGUGUGCAGAUGGGAAAAGAGGCCAGGGGAGGGGUGGGUGCCUCAGACAAGAACACAGGCCACCCAGGUAUCCUGGGUCUCCAGCCGAGACAGGGAUAACAGGUACUCUCUGGACCUGAAUGACAUGUUGAAGGACAUCAGGGAACAAGGUGGCUGCAUGCACAUCUUCCCCUGCCAUCCCCCUCUUCUUGGAGGGCAGAAGUAAGCAGAGAGGUGUCCUGAGAGUCCUGGAAGAUCCCACGGCAGGGGACUUCACCUGUAGUGUGUUCUGUGGUCCUCUGAGGAGCAGGACCAGCAGCAUGAGCUGCAAACCAGACUCUGUCACAGCCCCUCUUGGCCAACCCUGCCCUGACUCUCGGUCCCUCCGAACCUCAGUUUCUCUCCCUGUAAAUUGGGAACAAUACCUACCUAACUCCUAGGGUUGUCAGGAGGGUGAACGGAGUAAAAAGCAUUCAUUGAUAAUGAGGGCCAAUGUGCAUGCAGCUGUUUCGGGGGGGCUAUCCAUCCGUGUUAGCUCAUGAAUUCUUACACCACCCUAACACAGACAGUGUUUUUAUCACCAUUUUGUGGAGCAUGGGCACAGAAUGAUUGAGUCAUGCGCUCAAGCCCACUCAGCUGAUAAGAAAUAAGUUAGGAUUCAAGUCCAAACUGAUUGCAGAAUCUGUGCUCCUAACCCUAAAGCACCCUGCCUUUCCAGGAAUGUACGUAGUAAGGGCUCAAGGAAAGCUGGUCAGUAGAGGGGCAUGGAAGUCCCUCUGGUCAGAGAUCAGGGCAUUGCAGGAGCUGCUGAGUUUGAGGUAGAGAGGAUGGCCAGAGGCUGAGCCAUCAGGAGGAAAGCCAGGACCCAGUCUGUGUGGGCGGAGCCGCCCUGUGGGUUGCCUGCCUGCUGCCAGGGGGGCGUUCCUGUUCUCCUGUUUAUGUUCAUCUCUUCUGUUUAUGUUCCUGACUUUAUCUGCAGGGGUGACCUUGGGGAAUUAGAUGGGGCCUAGCCUGCCCUCAUGGGGCCUGAAGGGUGAUGGGAAGUUCCUGCUCAGUCCAGGCCCUCGACUCAGGGAUAAAAGUCGCCCUUAGCCUCUCUGGAUCCCUCCUGAGGGGCUUCAGGGAUUUGUCUGGAGGUCACUGCGGUGAAAGAUUUGCAAGUCCUGAGACUUAGGCCAGGAUCACUGUGUACAGUUGUACAAGCUGCUCCCCACACGCAUGUUCUCUAGCCAAGAUGGUUGAGUGGGGGUAGAAAUCCAGCCCUUGCUCCAAAGCCCAUGAACUUUGCCUGCCUGGAGGGGGAUGUCUUUUUCUUAUUUGCACAAAGAAUCCAUGUAAGCUACUAGGAGCUCUGCCCCAGCUCUGUUUCCAGCCACUGUGUGACCUCGGACAAAGCCCAUCCCUUCCUGGCCUUGGAUUCCUGUUUGGGAAGUUGUGUCUAGCAUAAAGCAGAGAUUCAAUCUAGAUAGUGAAACAGAAUCACCUGGGAUCUUAAAAAAAUAUAUAGAUGCUCAGCUGCUCGGGUAGCUCAGUGGUAGAGCAGAGAGCAAGUUGUUCCAUUCUCAGCCCUAAAGCAAAACACUGAGGCCCAGGCUGGGUGAUACGCCAGUGAUCAAAUCUUAGGGUAGCAGUGAGUAGUGCUCGGCUUCAGUAGUUUUUGAAAUCCCUGGAUGAUUCUGAUCAUCCAGGAUGAUUCAGGCCCAUCACAGAAGGCUUGACAUUUUGAAGUGGAAAGACCUUGACACAGGUCUGAGUUUUCCAACUAAGUGCAGCUUACUAUUCAGAACUUCAGGGAGGAUUGGUUUCCCCAUCUGUAAAAUGGACCCACAACUCCCUCACAAUGUCAGAAUGCUGAGUCAGCGGAUGACAUCCUGAGAUGGUCCCUGAUUCUUGGUGCCAAUGGCUGUUAUUGUUACUGUCAAUAAAAUAUUGGUAUCAAGUAAAAGGCCCUUCCAGGCCAAGCGUUCAGGGACAUGGAGCCAGGCUUUCUCUGUUCCUUGGAUGCCCAUCUUCUCUGCCCACCUGUCCUAUUAUUGAAGUUGUGUGGUGAUGAUGAUGAUGAUGAUCUGAUUUGUUAGACAUUGCACAUUUAUUUCUGAAUCAUUAACGACCUUCACAUGGCUCAGAAUCAGAUGUGAAAAAGGUACCCUGUUGAGAAGCCCGGUCCGCUCUGCCUGCUGCUGCCUGAGCUCUCCACCUCUUUACCACCCUUCCUCAUUUUCCUACUUUCUCAUGGAUCUUUCUUGAAAGUCUUUCACGGAAGUACAAGAAUCUAUAAGAUCACAGGUCGUCAGCCCUGCCUCCCACACUGUCCUGCCUCCUGCCUGUUUCCUUGACCAUUAUGGCCUGCAGAUUUUCCCAUAGCAGUUGAGAGCCAGCUUUGGGAGAAAACAGGCUCUGGGAGGGAGCGUUGUUUUCCCAGGAAGCCAAGUCAGUCAUGUUUGAACUCUCUCUCCUUGGCUCCAGAGCCCAUGUCUGUCCCCUGAACUGAAGUGGCCUUCCAGGAACCCAGGCCUCAGGAGUUUGGGAGCCAGGCAUAAACUGGUGCAGCACAGACCUGGCCUUCCCGGGCAUAAGGGAAGGUGGGGUUGGGUGGGCUGUUAGGGCCUCUCCUGUUUCUGGGCCCUGAAGACCCAAAGACAGGCUAAAGUAUGGAAUAAGUCAUCCAAAUAGGGACCCAGUGAGGGGUGUCCCCUGGAUGGGACGUCAUGGCCUGGUGGCCCUGCCAUCCAGCACUGUAGAACCUGCAAGCUCAGAGUGUGCUGGCAGCAGCAAGGUCCAAAGGAGGAGGGGCAGGGAGGAAGGGAAGCCUAGCCAAUGGGACGGCCAAUGCAGAGCCCUGGGGGACCCAUUCCUGGAGGGCAGGAUUUGGAAUUCAAGACAGAAGUGGUGAGGACAGCUUAGCCCACAUUUUCUGUGCAGGCGAAUUCAGGGUCCCCCUGGAUCCUUGACCUGCUCAGAGCACUGACUGAGCAAGUCAAGCUCGCUCUCUGCGCCUCAGCUGCAAAAUGAAGAUUAGACAGCUGGUCUUUGGGCAGCCUUGAAGCACCCCUAAAGGCAUCUUUGGGGGCUCCCUCUCCUUGUUGAGGGAAUCUGAAUCCUGUUUUGACCAGAAUAUCAUUCACCUAUCAGGGCCCUUGGCCUUCCUGGAUGGGGGCUGGGGAUAAAAGUCUCCACACUGCUUCAAAGUCCAGCCUCCUCCCCCCAGUUCUGUGUCUCCCUCCUGCCACCCCAUAUUCCUUCCAGGCAAAUGCAGAGGCAGGACCAUACCUGGUGGGUCCUGGGGGAAGCCCUGGCCCCCGUCCGACAUCCUCCUCCCGGUGCUAUGGGGUCCCGCACAGUGGGCAACCUCUUCAUCCCUGAGUCAACCCCUGCUGCCACCCUGGCACCCUAGACCCUGUGGGGACUGCUGGGCAGAGUUAAUCCCUUAAUACUGGUCACAAUGAGAUUUCAGGGAUGGUGGGAGGCGGUCUCCAUGGAGACCGAAGACCUGUCCAGGACCCACGCAAGGAAUUAGCCCCAGGCCUCUGCAAGGGGCCCCUAGAGACCCAACCCAAACAGUGGGAGACGCCGGGCCUGCAGGCCUGGGUCUGGCCUCCUGCUCUCUGUGUUCUUUUGCUGAACAGGUGAGAUGCAUUCAUGGGAGCCUGCGUCACCUUUCUGAGACAGAUUCUUUAUCCUCCAUUUGGGGUUCUGGGCCUCAAUCAACUUUUCUAGAAGAGUGCCACUUUGGGAGUCUGUUAGACCUGAAUUUGAUGCUCAGCUUUUCUGUCUCAGACUGCCUCAGGCCAAGCACUGCGCUUCUCUGAGCCUCAGUUUCCUCAUCUUUAGGAUGGGCACCAUAAUGCCACCCUGGUGUCACUCUUGGGUCUGUGUGGUGGGUAGUGACACUCAGUGAAUGUAAGUGUCUUCACCUCUUUCUGCUGCCCUUCCCCAAUCACCUGAAGACCCCACGCCACACCCUCGUCCCUGGCAGAGAGCUGUCACAUCUCUCUCUGCCACCCUGUCCCUCCUCCAAGUCCCAUCUUGGUCAUUCUCUGGCAAGUCCUGCCAACCAUCCUCCCACAGCCCCAGAGCUUUCCAUCAUCACAGUUUAAUCAGGUGGUGCUUGUCUGCCUCCUCCUCUAGCAGUGUCCCCUUUACCACUGCAUUCCCAGGACCCAGAUUGGCGCUUAAUAUAACCGGUUGGCUGAAUGAAAGAGCGAACAACCAAGGAAUCGUCGGCCCCAGUGUUGAACACUGAUUCAGCACCUGCCCCGUGUGCGAUCCCAGGAGAUGCCACAGCGAAGAUCCUGGGCAAGAGCCCUGCCUCACAGGGCUGCAACCAGCAAGCCAGGUCAAGGCUGCCCAGGCAAACUGCAAGUCCAGAAAAACUUUACUUUAGAAUGCUUUUCUAAAGUAGGUCCCAAAGAAUGAAUGGGGCAUACUCAUACUUUAAAAGUUUGUGGUUUAUCUCAAACCCAAAUGAGAGUCGUGGAUUGUUUCUGGAAGCUCUAUCCCCCCUCCCCUGGCACACAGCUUGGGUCAUGGUGGAAAGGCGGAGUGGGGACCGAAAUCAAGUAAAUAAACAACCAAGUACAUUCAAAUAGUAGUUAAACAAUGACACAGCACGAUGCGACAGCACACCGGGACAGGUAGGGGGCGUCUUUGGAUCUGACAGCAAGAUUUCACCUGCACCACUUUUAAUCCCAGUGUUGCUUAGGAAAAGCCCUUUGAGGAUCUUAAAGGGCACGAGGGAGACUCCGAGGCGGGCAGAGGGUGCCAGCCGGGGAAAGGGGCUGCUGAAUCUCACUCGAUAGACUCCGCGGUCUGCAGCUUGGACCUGGGCCUUCGCAAACCUGCGCGAACCCGCAGACCCACCCCUCGGGUCAGCCAAUGUCCUCGACGGGGCUGGGAGCCAGGGGAAGAGGCCAAAGGAGCUGUGCAGAGAAGCGUGGCCACCUGGCCAGAGCUGGGAGCCUUGACACACUUUCCCCUCCCUGGCCCGCCCCACCCCCGGCGCAGCAGAACCUGCGUGAGCCCCAAGCCGGAGGGCGACCUGGAGGAGGCGACAGCGACGCGCCUCUGCUGCGCUUGGCACUCCCCGGGUUCCCCCUAGUGGCCCCCGCGGGAACUGGCGCUCAGAAUUAGGUAGCUGGUAGCUGUCACAGAGCCUUCACCGACCACAGCGGAGCCGCGCCACAGACCCCACCAAUCACAGGACCAGUCGGUCUACGUCUCUCCAAACCCGCGGAAGCCAGCUCGACACAAUCACCAAUAACAGCUCGUCGCUACUGCACCAAUCAGGAUGCAAGAUGUAAAAACCGGUUCCCCAGCCGCCUCCGCGCUGCCCUUCCAGGGUUCCUGAAACCUCAGUUCCCAGCACCUGCUGCCAGUGCGCAGGCGCCUUGGAGGAAGGUCCCAGGCUUCGUGCUGGCUCCCAGCGGAAGCCCACGUUUGCAUUCAGAGGCAUAUUUAAUGACAUUGCUGUCAUUAAAUGUCACCCCUCCAUUAUGGAAAUUGGAGGGUAUGGGCAGUGGAAAAACUGGACCUUGGAGUCAGACAUACUGAAGCUUUGUGCAGCGGGAGGUUUGCUUCCCUUUCCUCAGCUGUUACGAGAACAAUAGUAAUAUCUACACGAAAUACCGGUCACCCUUCCCCAUCAAUAAUCCAAGGGCAAAUACUAGGAGUCACUAUCUUUGUGUCCCGCCUCACCUGCUAUCUCUCCCUUCAUCAGAAAACCCAGUUCUUCCACCUCCAACAGUAUCUAGAGUUUUCAUCAUCUUUCCAUCUCCAACUGAACCAGCGGUGGCAGAAACGCCCAUCAUCUCUGGACAUCUGUUUUCCACUCGGGCUCCCCUACCACCCACUCCUCAGCCUGGGACAGGGGUGAUCUUGUACAAGCCUACAUUGGAUCAGAUCCUCCUCUACUUACACUUUUACAACUUCCUUUGCAUUUAUAAUAAAGCUCAUAAAACCCCUGCCAGAGACUAAGGCAGGACACAACCUCCUUUUUAACCUCUCUACCUCUCCAACCUUAUUCCAUCCCACUCCUGCACCCCCUCCUUUUUUUCCCUUCCUGUCUCAGGGUCUUUGCACAUUCUUUGUCCUCUGCCUGGAAUAUGAUUCCUGGGUCCUUUGCAUGCCUGUUGGGUGAAAAAAUAUCCUUCAGAUGUGGACUUAAUUUUUAUUGUAUCUGGGAGGAAUUUCCUAUAUGUUUAUGCAGAGUCUCUGCAUCCUUCACCUCUUUAUUCUCUAUCUCUGUACUUAUUAUUUCCCCUUAGCACUUUAUAUUGAUUUGAAAUGGCACAAAUGUUUGGUUACUUGUGUGUUAACUAUUUCCAGGUCAGGACAGAAUGCCUUUAUUUUAUUUGUGUAUGGUGCUAAGGAUCAAACCCAGGGCCUCACACAUGCUAGGCAAGUGUUCUGCCACUGUGCUUCAGCCCCAGCCCUCUGAAAAAGAUUUUGAAGGAGAGACUACUAAUCAUAUGCUGACGUCCUUGGUGAACAGUAGGCAAUCAACAGAAAGGAGUUCAUGCUUACAGAAGUUCUGGAAGGUGGAGAUUGAAAUCAUAGGUGCUUCUACAUGUAGGAGGGCUCAAGAAGUGAGAAGCACUUGUUUGUCCACCAGAGUUUCCUUGGUGCUGUCAGCUUCAUGCAUGGGUGCAUGGAGGAGCUGUCCUGGGCUUGCAGGCUGCUUGGCAGCAUCUUUGGCCUCAAUUCAUUAGAUGCCAGUAGCACCUUGCCCCUCUCCCCAGAGGUGAACCCCCCACCAAAAAAAAAAAAUUCUCCAGAUAUUUAAAAACAUCCCUUGGGGGUCAAAAUUUCCCUUGAUGGAGAACUAUUGUGCUAGACCUCUUAGAUGUACAAGAAAAUUUUCUUCCAGUAAUUCAGAGCUUCUCAAAUUUCAGUGUCCAAACAAAUCAUCUUGGGGCCAUUACUGAAAAUCCGAAUCCCUGGGGUCCCACCUUCAGGCUCUGGGGUCAGCAGCGGGCCCAGGCAGCAGAUGUUUCGUGAGCUUCCAGACGCUUCUGGUGCAAGAUGUUCUCAGACCCCACUCUAAAAACUCUGCCAAGAAUCCUCCUGAUAACCUGAUAAGCAGGCACCACUGUGGGAGGCCCCGCCCACACGGAUCCUGCCUUUACUUCCUCUCCUUUCCAGCCACCCUUCCCUGGAUGACUUUCCCAAGGAGACACAGAACCUGUCUCAGCCAAGCCCACACUGCCUCAUCUCCCUUCUGAGCAGACAUACAAACUGACCACAGUUCAGUGGAAGCCACCUGUGGAAAGACACUGGGGCACUGGGGAUGGAAACCAGAGUCUCACACAUGCUAAGCGCACACAGUGAGCUAUUCCGAGAGCUAGACCUCCAGUUCUGUGUGUUUGUUCUUAUUUUCAAAAUAGGAGUGACAAUGAGCGUGUGACUGGGAGUGUGAGUGGUAUAGGUGUUGAUCUACAGGAAGGGCUCAGAACUGGCCCUGCACAGUGACUGCUAUGGAGAGCAGGCAGGGUCAAGAGCCAAGUGACUCAGGAAAAGUGUUUGAACUUGAUGGAGAGGAACAAGAAACCCUCCGCAGUGGUCAAAAAUAAACCACCAGACAGUGUGGCAGGCAGAGCUGCCCUAGCAGCAGGUAAGAGGCUACACCUGGAAACCACUGCCCAAACCUAGACUCAGGUGUCAGUGACAAGGACAUAGUGCUCGGGUCUCCAGAGCUGAGGCCCCCUGCAUUCUACCCAGAAAGGACCAGAAAGGGACAGCUGCACCUGGUUCUGAUUUUAUAAUUAGACACAUAAAAUUUUCCUAGGAUGGGGCAAGGUGGGGAAACAAUCAGAGAGCUAAAGGCCAUCUGGCCUGGAUCCUGGGAAAGAGGAGAGACACAGUGUAGCACAGAGGGUAAGGCAUUGCCAUUAAAAUAUAGCAAUGGCACCAUUUGCAUAGCUGUUGGACCUGAUUAAAAUUAGAAGUUCUUGUCAAGCGCAUUGCCCCAGGCCUGUAAUCCCAGCAGCUCAGGAGGCUGAGGGCAGGAAGAUCAGGAGUUCAAAGGAAGCCUCAGCAACUUAGUGAGGCCCUGAGCAAUUUAGCGAAAUCGUGUGUCAAAAUAAAAUAUAAGCAGGGCAAGGUGGCACAGGGCAAGGUGGCUCAGGCCUGUAAUCCCGGUGGCUUGGGAGGAUGAGGCAGGAGGAUCACGAGUUCAAAGCCAGCCUCAGCAACCGCAAAGUGGAGCAGGAGGAUCACGAGUUCAAAGGCAGCCUCAGCAACCGCAAGCAACUCAGUGAGACCCUGUCUCUAAAUAAGAUACAAACACAGGGCUGGGGAUGUGGCUCAGUGGUUGAAUGCUACUGAGUUCAAUACCCACUACCCACCUCCCCCAAAUUAAUUUCAACUGUUUUUUGGUUCUUUUAAAAUGAAACUUCAUUUUGGUGUACUGUAGAUUCACUCACUUUUAAAAAUUGUUUAAGGGGCUGGAGUUGUGGCUCAGUGGUCUGGCGCUCGCCUAGCACAUGCAAGGCCCUGGGUUUGAUCCUUAGCACCAGAUAAAAAUAAAUUAAAAAAAAAAAAAGAUAUUUUGGGCUGGGGAUGUGGCUCAAGCGGUAGCACGCUCGCCUGGCAUGCAUGCGGCCCGGGUUCGAUCCUCAGCACCACAUACAAACAAAGAUGUUGUGUCUGCCGAAAACUGAAAAAUAAAUAUUAAAAAUUAAAAAAAAAAAAGAAGUUCAAACUUGAGCUCAGUUUAAAAAAAAUUGUUUAAAUAUUGUUGCUGCAGGGGCUGGGGAUGUGGCUCAAGUGGUAGCGCGCUCGCCUGGCAUGCGUGCGGCCCGGGUUCGAUCCUCAGCACCACAUACAAAGAUGUUGUGUCCGCCGAAAACUAAAAAAUAAAUAUUUAAAAAAAAAAUUCUCUCUUUAAAAAAAAAUAAAUAAAUAUUGUUGCUGGAAAUAGAUAAAUAGAGCAGUGGGGAGAGCCCAGAAGGUCUAUACAUAUUGGAAAACGGAAGACAGAAGUGGUGGUAGGUACUGCAUACCAGGCAAUUAAGAUGCCCUAUUCAGUAAAGGGUAUAGGACCAAGUGGCUUUUCAAAUAACAAAAAAAUGUCCUCUGCUCUGGUUUGGAUGUGUCCUUCAGGAGUUCAUGUGUAGCAAUGCACAGGCUGAGGGCAUGUAGAUGUGAGGCCUUUAGGAUUAAAUGAGCUCAUGCAGGUGGGUGUUCAUGGCUUUCUGAGGGCAAGAGAGGCUCCCACAAGCAUACUUGCUCUGCCCCUCCAUGUGGUGACACAGCCAGGAGGCCCCCACCAGAUACUGAAAAGAUGCUGGUACCAUGCCCAAUUUCCCAGCCUACAGCACUCUGAGCCAACUAAACUUCUGUGCUUUAUAAAUUACUCAGUCUUGGGUAUUUUGUUAUAGCAACAGAAAAUUGAAUAAGCUAAUAUUCUCAUUUCGUACCACACACAAAACCCAAUCCCUGUGGAAUAAAGACCUAACUAUGAAAAUGAAAGUUUUCAUGCCUAUAGAAAAUAUUUAGGGUAAUAUCUUCUUUCUCUCAAGGCACUGGAAUAGUGAAUGGACAAGAUAUACAAAAAGCACAAACCAUACAGGAAAAUACUAUAUUUAAUGACUUUAUAAAUCAGCUAAAAUAUAACUACAUUAAAACUCUAAGCAUCUAGCCAGGCUCAGUGCUACACGCCUGUAAUAUCAGUCACUCAGGAGGCUGAGGCAGGAGGAUUGCAGGUUUGAGGCCAACCUCAUCUAUUUAGAAAGACCCUUUCUCAAAAUAAUAAAUAAAAAAGGACUGGGGGUAUAGCUCAUGAGUUAAGUGCUGCUGGGUUCAGUAUCCAGUAUGGUACAUUAAUAAAUAAGUGAAUAAAUAAAUGGAGUGGAAAGAUUAGCUACAGAUGUUCAAUGGUACUUGCCAUUAAUAUAACUAAAAAAGGAUUAGUAUCAAGAGUGAAUAACUCAGGGCUGGCGCUGUAGCUCAGUGGUAGAGCGCUUGCCUAGCACGUGUGAGGCACUGGGUUCAAUCCUCAGCACCACGUAAAAAUAAAUAAAUAAAAUAAAGGCAUGCUGCCCAUUUACAACUACAAUUUUUUUUUUAAAAAGAGUGAAUAACUCACACACUAUUUUGAGAACAAUGUUAUUUCAGUGAACGGUGUGUCGGCCAUGCUGAAGUUUACCUGUAGUGCGCUAUUUAAAAACAUAUGUAUAAAAGGUCUUUCUUGCCAGGCUGUGGUGCCGCAGGCCUGUAAUCCCAGUGACUCAGGAGGCUGAGGCAGGAGGACCGUGAGCUGGAGGCCAGCAUCAGCAACUUAGUGAGAUCUUAUCUCGUAAUAAAAAAAUAAAAGAACUGGGGAUGUAGCUCAGCAGUAAAGCACUCCUGGGGUUCAAUCCCCAGUAGACAAAAUAAUAGAAGUAAUAACUCCUACAAAUUGAUAAGGCAAAUAAUGUAAUAAGAAAGCAGGAAAAGAUAAAGACAAUCUCAGAAGGGGAAGAAACCCCAAGACAGAGAGAACCCCUCCCUCCCUCUCUAGCAAUAGAUGAAAUACAAAUGGAAAAGUGAAGCAUCAUUUUACCUUCGUCAUCUUGCUUUUGAGGAUGUGGAGCAAGGAGAACCCUCAACACUGCUGACAGGUGUGGGGUGGACAGAGGGGUAUGUACCAAGAUCUCAUGGGAAGGAAGAGGCCCGCUGCCUGAGACGCAGAGGCCCCACUACUGUGCAGUGCCGUAGAGAAAAACUCUCAUCCACAGACAGAAGAAUGUUGUUCGUGGCUUUAAGAUGGUGACAAACUGGCUGGGCCUUGUGGCACAUGCCUCCGAGGAGAAUGGCAAGUUCAAAGCCAGCCUAAGAAACUUAGGGAGGCCCUAAGCAACUCAGCGAGACCCUGUCUCUAAAUAAAAUAUAGAUAAGGGCUGGAGAUGUGGCUCAGUGGGUAAGCGCUCCUGGGUUCAAUCCCCAGUUUAAAAAAAAAAAAAGAUAAUGACUAAAUGGAAACAACCCCAUUGUCACAAAAUGAAAUAAACAUACAAGGCAUUUUAAAUGAGUGACUGCAUUAGGUGGAUCAGUAGAGGAAGAUCCAAAAGCCAUUAUGUGGGGUGAAUCACAGGACAUUGCUGAAGGCUGCCCGCAACACACCGUUUGAAUAAAUUUCCCAAACAUGCAAAGUGCUCCUUUUAUUGCUCAUGUACAGCAUGUAGAGUCAAAGUCCAAAAACGUGUCUGGUUAUAAUGACAAUCACCAGACCUUGACAGUGGUCGCCUCUGAGCUGAGUGGCAGGGGUGACGGGAUAGAGUGGGGACAGGGGCUUCCAUUCUGUGUCACAUAUCAUUUCUCAUUUAGACAAACAAAAAUAAACCCAAAGAAAGUGUGACCCUCCAGGAGGAUUUGACAGAACUGAGUGGCGGGUAUAUCAACGUUCACACUAAAAUCAACCAUCUUCCAGAUUACCAGCAACAUACAAUUCAGUAAUCUUAUGAUUUUAAAUAUCUAGACAACCUAAAAAAAAAAAAAACGGGAAAAUAUGGAAGAGAAAACAUUUCUCUGUUUGGGGCAGGGAGAGCUUUAUCAGGAGUUAAUGUUUUGGACUGUGGGGAAGGAGGGUUUGGGGGGCGGCUCUCCUGCAUUGACCAAGGCCUGGUCAUGAGUUCCUGGCUCUGAAAAGUUCUAUGUCAGAAAGGUUCUGGCCAUUUUGUGGAACUCAAGCAACUCACAGUAGAAUUCCUUCUGUCGGGCUGGGGAUGUGGCUCAAGCGAUAACAUGCUCGCCUGGCAUGCGCGGGGUGCUGGGUUCAUUCCUCAGCACCACAUAAAAAUAAAGAUGUUGUGUCCACCGAAAACUAAAAAAUAAAAAUAAUAAUAAAAAAGAAUUCCUUCUGUCUGAGUGGUCACUUGGGAAAAACCUGCCUUCCUAGUCUUGGCUCUGCCACCCACUUGUGGUCUGGUUUUGCCAGGUCACCUUUCUUCCUGGAGCCUCAGUUUAAAUGGGCAUGCAAAGAGGACACCGCCAGAAUCCUCACCUGUUUUCACCUCUAAGUCCCCAGGUUGGAGCCCAACAUUAAGAUGCCAAGUCCAGGAUGUGGGGAUGUAGCUCAGAGAACGUGCCUAGCAUCCACAAGGCCCUUGGUUCAAUCCUCAGUGCCAAAAUAAAUAAAUAAUUAAUUAAAAAAAAAAAUAACCAAGGCCAGUUGUGGUGGUGCACUUCAUUUAUACCCAGUGACUAUGCAGGCUGAGGCAGGAGGAUCUUGAGUUCAAAUCCAGCCUCAACAAAGUUGAGAUGCUGAACAACUCAGUGAGACUCUGUUUCUAAAUAAAAUACAAAUAGGGCUGGGGAUGUGUCUCAGUAGUUGAGUGUCCUUGAGUUCAAAACCCAGUAUCCUCCAAAAAAUAAACCAGGGCUGGGGUGUAGCUUAAUAGCAGACACUUGACUAGCUCAUCUCUGGCCCUGGGUUGGAUCCCCAGCACUAGUAGGGAGGAGGGGGACUGGGAAUUCUUUGCUUAGUCAUAAAACAAUAAAAAUAUAAUCAAUAUGGGAUGCCCUAUCCAUUUAAUUUUAUUCCUCCUUACAUAAAUUUUAAAAAAAUAACUGUUUUGCUAUUUAUUAUUGUUAUUUGCUAGGAAUUGAACCUAGGGCCUCCCACAUGCUGGGCAAGUGCUCUACUACCAAGCUGCAGCCCCAGAACGUCACUAUAUUUUUUGUCACUUAACUAAAGCAGGUUCAUGACAGAAGAAUUCCAAAAAUUCAGAGAAGUAGCCUUUAUAGAUAAGGAGACUGAGGGUCAGAAAGGUCAAGUCACCUCUGCAGUUCUCUAAACCAGUUCUUCCUAACCCUGUAGCACAAGCUCUCAGCCCCUCCCAGGGCCUUCUCAUUGGAAGUGGGUCCACCACUCCCAAGAUUCCUCCCCCUCCCUCUUUCCUAAGCCUUCUCCUCCGAGGAGCUAAGACCGGUCUUUCCUGUAAACAGAGUCAAAACCUUAAAUAAUCCUCUCUCCACCCCAACUCCACCCUCUGAGUCCCUGGAUUUGGGAUCUUGGGCAGGCUGGAGACAGAAUGGAUGUGCAAUUAAGUUUCAGAUUGACCAUUGUUUUGUGAAUAUCUGAUAAGGAGAUCACAAAGGAGGCUGGGACAGACUCCCCACGGUGGAGAAUUCUAGAAGACAGGCCUGAAGUUCUGGGACCUGGAUCCUCCGGAGGAUAGAUAAUAGGUGGUCAGGCAAUAAGGGUGGGGAUGCUAGAGAUAAGUGUGGGGAGGGGAGACCCAGCUAGAGACACAGGCCCCAGGGGUUUGGCUGGGACAGGUCCCUUCAAGAACGGAAGAGGUAAGUGCAGGUCGGUGGUCACUGCCUUGGAAUCGAAGGGACUAGACCAGAGCCAUCCAGCAGAAACAGAGAGCCACAAAUGUAGCUUUAAAUGUUCUAGUAGUCACAUUAAAAAAAAAAAAAUUAGCGGCUCCCUGAAGCAGGAGAUUGCAUCCACUGGGCAUGUGUGGUGGCACCUGCCUAUAAUCCCAGCAGUUUAGGAGGCUGUGAGACAGGAGGAUCAUGAGUUCAAAGCCACCCUGGGCAACUAACUUAGUGAGGCCCUGGGAACUUAGCCUUUAGAGAUAAGGAGACUGAGGGGAAAUUUCCUGUCUCAAAAUAAAAAUAAAAAGGGCUGGGGAUAUGGCUCAGGGGUUAAGCACUCCUGGAUUCAAUCCCUAGUGAGAGAGAGAGAGAGAGAGAGAGAGAGAGAGAGAGAGAGAGAGAGAGAGAGAGAGAGCGCACCUAAUUGAAAUUAGUUCCACAGACCAUUGUCUCAUGGGUAUGGGGAAUCAGUGUAGUAGAGCUUCCAAUUUUUGAAAGAAACUGGAAGUUGGGAUUUUUAGAAGUUAACAGUCAAUUUAAAUUUGAUUUAAACAAUGAAAAAUAGAACCUCAACUGUCCUUUAAACCCUGGGGCUCCUACUCCUGGGGCUGAGCCCACAGGCAGCUGGGCCUCGGCCUCCUGCAGCUCCUGGGUACUGCUCCCUGGCGGCUCACCUCCUCCUCCACCCCUCCUCAGGCCUGUUUGGAUAACUUUGCGACCUGUGCCUUCACAAGCCCUCCCUGAGGUGUGGCUGCCUCUGCUGCUUGUCCCAGGGAAUCCUGGGGCCUUGGCCGUGUGGCCAGGCUUGGCCAGUCCCACGGCAGACAGUUGUCAAAUAGUGGCUGUCUGGGUGGAGGGAGGCCUGUUUACCCAGGGCAGGGCCCAGGCAGAGGCCGUCGCUUCCUUCCCAGACCACUGGCCAUCCAGCUGGGCAGCAGCCUGACUCAACUGUCCCCUCACAAAUAUUUAUGGAGCGCCUACUGUGUGCCAAGCCUGUUGUCCACACUGGGAAUGAGCAGGGAACACAACAGCCUGAUCCCUUGCUGAGUUAGAGCGAAAGAGUCCGAGAGGGUGAGCAGAGGGUGGAAUGGAAAUUUUCGAAGCUGCAGGAUAAUGGGGUUGAUGACAAUGGGCUGGGGCCAGCAGGCUUAGUUGUGGGUGGCCUCUGAGAGGGGGACAUCUGAACUAAGACCCAAAGGAUGAGAAGAAAUCAUCCCUGGGAAGAGCCGGGGAGCUGGUGAGGUGUCUGAAGGGAGGAAGUAACAGGGAGAACAACAAGAGAGCCCAGGGGGCCCUUUGGGUGGAAGAGCUCAGGACUUAUUUGGAGUGUGGCACAGCCCGAGCAUCUUCUGCAGGGGCUUGGAACAGUUAUGCCCUCAAGUCCUCCAACUCUGUCCUCCCUCCAUGGCUUCCUGUCCAGGCUCUUAUUUCCAGGUACAUUCCCAGGUGUUUGAAAUACAGUUUCAUUCUGACCUUUGGAUGGUCACAAUUGGGAAAGAGAAUUCUCCCAGGCUUCUAACAGCCAGUGCGCACCUGCGGUCUCCUGAGCCUGUGUCACCAGGGCCAGCGCUCUGGGCUCUUUCCCUGUAUCUUCCUCUCAUCUCUAAAGGUCAUGGCUGUCCGGCUGCUUCCUGGUUUUUGGCUUUAGGUAGAAUGCAUUAGCUUGCUAUUAGGAAGGAUCUUGGAUAAGUAUAUCCCAAUUUGUGAUGAAUCAGCGUUCCUUAUCUUCAAUUGCCUGUCCACGUCCUUAUCCUCACCCUUACGGCAGCUGUCACCAUCUGCUUUGAGGCCAGGUCUUCCCACACAUCACCUCAAUUAAUCCUCACUAUGUCAGAGUGCUUCCCACGCUUGGCUUGGCGUCCAGUGUGCCACUUAGCGGUCUGCGGAAGACUCCAACUCCAUGCCCUCAUCACAGAGCUGUCCCAAGGGGUGAGCAGAACUGGCAAGGUUUACCCCAUUUUCAGAGAAAGGAAACAGAGCCCAGAACUGUAAAGAAAAUUCCACCUAUCACAGGGUGGUGUGGAGACUAAAACAAAACCCACCUCCUAGCUAGGCAGGAAGGCGCUGGAGCCCUGGUAGACUGUGGGGAGCAAAGAAGUGUUCAUCUUGCAACUCAUCGUAUGUCUGUUAAAGCAGUUAGUGUCACCCUUCCUAGGACAGUGCCCAGGCUUGAGAUCUAGCUCUGCCUUGAGUAGGCUGUGUGGUUUGGGGUAAGCUACUUAACCUCUCUGAACCUGUUUUCUCUCCUGAGAAAUGGUAUGAUGACUCCCUCCAUGAGCAGUUGUGAGGCCUGGAAGAGUUAAUGUUUAUAAGGUGUUGAGAACAGUGGUUGGCCAGAGUAAGUGGUGGAGAACUACAUAAGUGAUUUUUAAAAAGUGAGAAAUGAAAGAAAGAGGAAAACACAUGUACACAAAACAAUUAAACAAACAAAACCCAAAAGCUGGAGAAUGGUUGAGCCAGAAACUGGGUGCCAAUUUCAGGCUCUGGCUCCGGGUCUAGCUCUGCUCUCCUCGUCAUGAUUCUGCCCAGAGAUGCUGUGCCUGUAUUCUAUUCACCAGUGACUAUUGAUUUGGUAUUUUUCUUUCCUUGAAGACAUUUGUUCAUUUUUGAAGGAUAUUUCGUAAUUCUAAUGCCUUCAAAGGCUAGCCAUGAAUUUUUCUAACAUACUAUAAAAGGAAUUCAUGAAGAUUUAAAAGCAUUUGUGCACUUACUACUUAGAAUCAGCCCCUGUACCCUGUGGGUAACACUUACAGGAGGGUAUGCUAUUUUUAAAUUUGAAACGAACCUUGGGGAACAUUCUGUCCAGUGACUGUUAAGCCUUUUGACCAUGACCCUCAGGAUGAAACACACUCUGCUUCCCAGACUUGAGGUACCUUGGCGGUAAAGGGUGGCGGCACAGUGAGUCCCUGGGACCCACUUGCCUGAGUGGGCACUUGGGUGAGCCCACAUAAUUUUGACUGCAGGACCUCCUCAUUGUGCUCCAUUUGUUUAUUUGUACAACAGGGAAGACCGCAGCACUUCCUUCACAGGGUCAUUCUGAAAAUUAGGAAUUGGUUCAUGUAAAGCCCCUGUAAGGAGUCUACAGGUUUUUGCUAUUAUCACAACCAUAAGCACAUACAUACCCACAGACAUGUACGGAUGAAACAAAAGUUUUACACACACACACAUACCUUAUUCUUACCUUACUCUUACUACAUGGGAUGCCCACAAUAUAUUUUAUUUUACAUUUUUCUUUUUUUAAAAAAAGUUGUCACCUUUGUGCAAUUUCAUACAGCUAUAUGCAUUUAUGAUUCAUACAUGUUUUCUGCUUUGGAGUUUAAGAAUGGUACUUUUUAAAGAAAUAAAGCAAGUCAGUAAAUCAUGUGAAUAGCAACUAGGCCAAAAUGAUUUUGUCCAGCAUAUUAAGUUUUUGGAAGGCUGUAUGGUAACAGAUCCCCAAUUUCUAAUGCAGACUGCUGAAUUAUACUAGGAAUAAUAUAUCUACUUAAAGACAAAACUGUACUUCAAGGGCCUUUAAGUAAAUAAUAUUCAAUAUAUUAAAGCAAGGACCAGCAAAGUAUAACCUCUGGGCCAAAUGUGGCACACUGCCUGCUUUAUAAAUAAAGUUUUAUUGGCACAUAGCCACACUCAUUCAUCUACUUAUUGUGUGUGGCUGCUUUUGUGCUACAACUCAGAGCUGAAUAUUUGCCACAGAUCCCUCUGGCCGGCAAAAUCUAAAAUAUUUACUGUCUUGUCUUUUAGAGAAAGUUUGCCAACCUCUGUGUUAGAGUUACAAUCCAAAGACCUUAAUAUUAAGUUAAAUCUUCUAGCUUUGUCUUAUUUUAUUCCAUUUUUAUGUCUGACUUUUUUUUUUCCUUUUAUUGUUUGUUGUUGUGCUCAGUAGGGAACCCAGGGCCUCCUGCAUGUGAGGCAAGUGCUUUACCCCUGAAUUGCAUCCCUUUCCCUAUAAAAAAAAAUAAUAAUUUAUUUUGAGAGAGGGUCUUCUCUCAAAAGGCUGAGGCUGGCCUUGAACUUGUGAACCUCCUGCUUUAGCCUCCUGAGUAGCUGGGAUUACAGGCAUGCACCACUGUGACCAACACAGGUCUAACAACUUUGAACAGUUUCAUCUUCCAAAACAAAUUACUUUGAAAGGAGUAAGAGUAAGGUAUUUUGAGGCAGAUUCUCACUACAUUGCCCAGGCUGGCCUUGAACUUGCAAUCCUACUAAAGGUUGAAAGAUUAGUAUAGUGAGCACUUAUGUAUCCUUUCGCCUAAAUUCAUCAAUUGGCGGUGUUCUAUAGAUUUGUCACUACCUAUGUACUAUUUUUAUUAAAGCACUUAAUCUGAAAUUUGCACAUGUCACACAGCAUCUGAAGGCUUGGAGAGAGGCCUUGCCCUGAUUCUGCAGAUGGACAGUUGCAUCCUAGAGUCAGUUGCCUGUCCCUCCUUCAGAACUGUUUGCUCCACAACACCUAGAAAGAUGCUUGCAUACAACAGUCACACAAUACCUUGUACACAGCAGGUGCACACUCUGUGGAGGUAAUACUAAUGCAGAAGUUCAAAUAUACACGGCACUUUCUUCUUACAAUACUGUGAAUCAAACCCAGGGUCUUACACAAGCUAGGCAAGCACUGAGCUACAUCCCCAGCUCUUAAUUAAAUUUUAUUUUGAGGCAGAGUCUCACUACAUUCCCUGGUUGGCUCCCAAGUAGCUGGGAGUGGCACUUUCUAUGGGAUGACAGGUAUGCCUGGCAUUCAUGGCACUUUCUAUUGCAGACACUCAGCACUUCCCAGAUACGAACCAUAUUGUCCUUGCCGGUACCCUACGAAAGAGAUGUUGGCCAUAUCCCCCAAGUCAGCACGUGAAGAGCACAAGGCACAGAAGACUAAGGAACCCACUCACAGCCACACAGGUAGGAGGUGACCCAGCCGACGCCAGGCUCUGAGGUGCAGCACUGAGUCACACAGUCCCUCGGGUGCCAUUAUGAGGGGUAGAUGUGUAUCUGGAAGAAUGACGAUUGGGUCGCACUAGAUUUUAAUCAGCCUUUUGCUGUGUGAUGCAGGGAAACUCACUUUGCAACUCUGAGUCUCGAUUUUUUUGUGUGUAUAAUGGAAUAAGACUUCCCAUCUUGAUGGACAAAGCACUUAAAUUCGCUGACAUCAUGGUGUUAUUUGGGAAGGGUUCCCAUGGAAACACAAUUCUCUCCUCUCUGCAAGCUCAUCCUUAUGCCAGAGGCCUGUGCAUCGGAUAAAAUGGGUAGCAUGGUUCCUGCACUGGAGCAUCUCAGGAUGUUUAUAGGACAAGGUAAAUCAAUCAUAAAACAACCGGAACACUUUCCAUAGACGAUGGAAUUAAUUGCAUUCAAUUAUCAAUAAAAUCCAUGCAGUGUGGCCAGGCAGCCUUUGCAACCGCUGUUCCUCCAGCUGGGGACACUCUUGCCCUUCCUCUCUUUUCCUGGAUGACGCCUGCUAAACCUUCAGGUUUCAGCUUAGAGAUCCGUCUGCUCCUCCAGGGACAAGAGGUCUCCGUCCUUUCUCCUCCUCAAGUUUCCUUUUGUGUUCUCACAGUGCCCUAUCUGUCCCUCUCAGAGUCCUCUGCCUUGGUGGUUGCUGGUUUGUCUGUGAUCCCACCAAAUUGAGCACAGUCCCAGAUUCCAAGGCAAACUUUGUUCUUCUAUGCUGCCUCCGUGCCUUCCAGAACGUCUUGCGGAUUACCGUCCCGGUGGACAGUCGACGAAGAAGUGAACAAGCAAAUAAUGAGUUAAUCAACGUAGGAGGCUUCUGGGUGCAGACAGGAUAUAUUUGGGGUGUCCAUUCCUCACUCUACAAAGAGAGCCAACCAUUUCCCUAUUGCAGCUGACCUGAAUACCCAAAAUCACAGGUGGAAUGUAACACAAAAUUACAGAAUUACUUCACCAGGUCUGAAGUGGAGCCCCAGCAUGGGUUGGCUUAAGAAUGUUUCCCAAGAGCAACUAGGUUUGUGAACCACUGAAGGCCUAGUUGGGUGGGAUGGGAAGAUGUGUGGAGAGGGAGAUGGGGAAGAAGUGGGGAGAGGGUGCUUUAGCAAUGAAGGGUUGGAACAUCCAUGGCCUGAGAUGGGAUAUGGUCCCAUAGCUGGCCAGCACCUGUGGUCCUUUUCAAUUCCAGGCCUACCACCCUUUGCAGGGACGAAGCAGGCUGUAGUAAUACUCACUCUCCCUCAUUAGCUCAUGGAAUCCUCAUAACAAACAAGAUGAAAAAAUUGGGAAACGGAAACGUGACUCAAAGAACCCACCGUCACAUAGCUGUAAGUCAGAGAGUCACUGAUCAGAUGGCCUAUGACAAGAACCUCUGCUCUAGCCUGAAGUCAAAUGGUGUAGAGCGAAGGGACUAGGUCUUUACACCUCAGAAAACCAGCCUCCUCUGGCACUUACAAACAUAAACUCCUGCCAGGCAUGGUGUUGCACCCCUGGAAUCCCCACAACUUGGGAGGCUGUUGCAGGAGGAUUGCAAGUUUGAGGCCAGGCUGUGCAACUUAGUGAGAGUCUGACUUGAAAUAAAAGAGUUGGGGAAUGUAGCUCAGUGGUAGAGCACCCCAGGAUUCAAUCCCUAGUUCCCCUCCGCACACACACAAGAAAGAAAGAUAAAGGAAAAGUAGAAUGAACUCUCUUGACAAAGGAUUAUUGCCCUGUGGCCAAAUCAUUCUGUCUCCUCACUUGGCCUGUCCUGAGCUCUAUAGUCCUUCUGUUCCAGGAUAUCUCAGCUCAAUCAUCCAUCUGUCCGUCCAUCCAUCCAUCCAUCCAUCCAUCUUUUCACCUACCACCAGCUCAUUACAUCAUUCAGUGAAUCAUCCAUCCCCUAACCACCCUCUAUCCAGCUACCUAUUCUUUCAAUUAUCACGUGUCCAAAUCUCUCCACUUACCAUCCAUCAUCCUCCAUAAUCACCCACCUACCUAUCUACUCGUUAAUCCAUCUGCCCAUCUACCUACCCCUUCAUCCUCCCAAUUACUCAUUUCUUUGUCCUGUUCACCUAACUCCCCACCUCUUCUGCCCAUCCAUCUACCCACCCAGCCAUCACUCCACUCAUCAACCUCCCAUCCAUCACCCUCAGCAUCUAUUCAUUUAUUCAUCAGUUAUGGCUUGGAUCUGGGAUGUCCCCAAAGUUUCAUGUGUCAGAGGUAGAACUCAUAAUAAUUAGAUUAUGAGGCCUCAGACCUCAUGGGUAGUUAAUCUACUUGAUAGAUUAAUAAUUUAAAUAGAUUCCUUGGAGAUGGUGAAGACUGUAGAAGAAGGGGCCUCAUUGGAGGAAGGAGGUCACAGGGACCUUCUCUGGCAGGGUGUAUUUGGUCCUGUUCCCUUCUAUCUCUCUUUCUCUGCUUCUGGGCUGCCAUGAUCUGACCACCCUUCCUCAUCAUGCCUUUCCACCAUGAGAGCCCACCUCACCUCAGGACCAAAGCAACAGAGCCAGCUGAUUGUGAACUGAAAUCUUUGGAACCGUGAGCCAAAAUAAAUCUUUCCUCCUCUAUGUUAUUUUUCUCAGGUAUUUGCCAACAGCAACGAAAAGCUGACACAUCAUCCAUUCUUUUCCUCAUUCAUCCACUCAGUUAACCUCCACCGAAGGCUACUUAAGGCCAGAACCUAUAGAAACCUCUGACAAAAAGACAACGAUGGAUAUUGUUCUCGUGGAGAUUGGAGGCACUUAUAGAAAUGAUAAUCUACCAAAGGGCCAAAAGGAAUAAGCAAGGAAAACAAGGGCAAGAAAAUAAUAUGCCCAGGAAUAAGGCUGGUAUGCAGAACGCACCACCCGGCAUCUUCUCCUCACAGCUGCUCAGGGAAGCCCCAGACCUGGCUCUGGGACAGAUCCUGGCACCCAAAGCAAAGUCACCAAACAUGAGCCCCAGGGUGCUCAAUGGUAGCAGACAACACAGCCACUACUCCUGCUCCUGUGUAACUCCCAGCUGUCACACGUUCUGGGGAAUAUUUGGCCAGCUGGAGAGAUUUUCAAUUGGCACAACUGAUGGGGAUAGACAUGAUUGGCCUCUGGCGAACAAGGACAGGGAUGCUGCUUGACACCCACCAUGCACAUGACUGUCCCCAGGAUAAAUAAAGAAUGACGCAAGCUGAGCAUGCUAAGGUCCAUCGUUGUUCAUCCAUCCAUUUAUCAUCCAUCAUCCAUCCAUUGUCCAUCCAUUAUGCAUCCAUCUAUGCAUCCAUCAUCAACCCAUCCAUCCAUCAUCCAUCCAUCAUUCAUCAAUAUAUCCAUUCAUCUUCCAUCCAUCCAUCCAUCCAUUAUCCAUUCAUCAUCCGUCCAUCUGUCCAUCAUCCAUCCAUUAUCCAUCCACUAUGCAUUCAUCUAUCCAUUCACCAUCCAUUCAUCAUCCAUCCAUCCAUCAUUAUUCAUCCAUCCAUCCAAGCACUCUAACAACUGUCCAUUAAAUUCUGGCUCUUUGGUGAUCACUGACAGGGGCCAGGAUAAGAGGACAUGUGGACAUCUUCCAAAGUAGAUAGAUGAGACAGUGAGAGGUUAUUGGUUAUGAUGUUAUUGAAUUACCCUUUGGGAGGGACUCUGGAGGCCCUCUAUUCACCCCUAGCCUAGGCUAAUGGCCUGGACUGUCCUUUCCAGGAGCUGACUCUCCUUCACCUUUGGAAACAAAUUGAAUAUUCCCCUGGUCCUGGGUUCCAUCAAGUCUGACAUUUAUGUAUUAAGUAAUGCAGAGCUAGGCUGGGAAUGUGGCUUAGUGAGAUACAGCAUUUGCCUAGCAUGCACGAGGCUUUGGGUUCGAUUCUUAGCAACACACACACACACACACACACCCCACUCACAAUGAAAGCCCAGCCCUCUGACCAUGCUAUCUAUUCUAAUCCCCCUCCUCCCAUGAAAUACAUGAAUUAUCUCAUUUUACAGAAGAGGAAAUAGGUUCAGAGAGGGGAAGUAACUUUCUCAAGGUCAUGGCUGCUGCAGGUCAUGGCUGGCCGCAGGCUAUUCAGUCCUUUAGCCAAGGCUGGUGAAGAGACAAGUCUCUGAGUUAGUCCCUCAGAGCCUCUGUCAUCAGUUAAUGAUGACAUUAAAUCAUUCCUUCUAAGGAGGGUGGUGUCCGGGGUUUUAUAACCUCCCUGUGUGAUGAAAGAGUCAAGGACUUCAGUAUUGUCCCUACUCCAGAGAGAUCAAUGGAGGCAUAGAUGUGCUGAGCGAUUUGACCUCCAUCAUACAACUAGAAUGGCUUUUUAUUGCAUUCCAAGGGUCAAGCUCUACGUAUGGGGUAGGGGGGACAACUAGAUGUAUAAAAUGCACCUAAUUUUUUUAAACUUUAAAACAUGCCCCCCAAAGGAAAAACAUUCUCUUGAAUUUCCCUCCACAGAAAUAAAAUUGUCACUAGU